UGCGUAGGCGGUCCGGGAAGUUGGGUGUGAAAGCCCUCAGCUCAACUGAGGAAUUGCGCCCAAAACUGCCGGGCUCGAGGGAGACAUAGGUGAGCGGAACUUAGGGUGGAGCGGUGAAAUGCGUUGAGAUCCUAAGGAACACCAGUAGCGAAAGCGGCUCACUGGGUCUCUUCUGACGCUGAUGCACGAAAGCUAGGGGAGCGAAGAGGAUUAGAUACCCUCGUAGUCCUAGCCGUAAACAAUGAGCACUGGUUUGGAGGGUCCUCCAUAGCCUUCCAGACGUAGCGAAAGUGUUAAGUGCUCCGCCUGGGGAGUAUGGUCGCAAGGCUGAA
rnacentral:rRNA from 1 species